rnacentral:rRNA from 1 species
UUCCAGACUCCUACGGGAGGCAGCAGUGAGGAAUAUUGGUCAAUGGCCGGAAGGCUGAACCAGCCAAGUCGCGUGAGGGAAUAAGGCCCUAUGGGUCGUAAACCUCUUUUGUCAGGGAGCAAAGGCGUCCACGUGUGGACGAGAGGAGAGUACCUGAAGAAAAAGCAUCGGCUAACUCCGUGCCAGCAGCCGCGGUAAUACGGAGGAUGCGAGCGUUAUCCGGAUUUAUUGGGUUUAAAGGGUGCGUAGGCGGACAGUCAAGUCAGCGGUAAAAAUGCGGUGCUCAACGCCGUACAGCCGUUGAAACUGGCAGUCUUGAGUGGGCGAGAAGUAUGCGGAAUGCGUGGUGUAGCGGUGAAAUGCAUAGAUAUCACGCAGAACUCCGAUUGCGAAGGCAGCAUACCGGCGCCCGACUGACGCUGAGGCACGAAAGCGUGGGUAUCGAACAGGAUUAGAUACCCUGGUU